UACGUAGGGUGCAAGCGUUAAUCGGAAUUACUGGGCGUAAGCGUGCGCAGGCGGUUUUGUAAGUCUGUCGUGAAAUCCCCGGGCUCAACCUGGGAAUUGCGAUGGAGACUGCAAGGCUAGAAUCUGGCAGAGGGGGGUAGAAUUCCACGUGUAGCAGUGAAAUGCGUAGAGAUGUGGAGGAACACCGAUGGCGAAGGCAGCCCCCUGGGUCAAGAUUGACG
rnacentral:rRNA from 1 species